UUUAAUUGAAUGAUAUAAUAUUUUAUAUUAUAUUUUAAUAGUCCUAACCAAGAUUUGUGCCAGCAGCUGCGGUAAUACAAUGAGGGCUAGCGUUAAUCAUAAUGGUUUAAAGUAUCCGUAGAAUGAUAAAAUWUUAUUAGAGUUAAUAAAUUUAAUUAAAGAAUUAUGAUAGUAAAGAUGAAAUAAUAAUGAUAAUCAUAAGACUGGUAURUGUGAAAAUAUUAAUUAAAUAUUAACUGACAUUGAGGGAUGAAAGCUAGAGUAGCAAUAUGGAUUCGAUACCCAAGUAGUUCUAGCAGUAAACUAUGAACACCAUAAUUUAUACAUAAUAUAAAUUAUAAACGAAAGUGUAAGUGUUCCACCUGAAGAGUACUUUCGCAAGAAUGAAACUCAAGACAAUAGACGGUUACAGACUUAAGCAGU
rnacentral:rRNA from 2 species